rnacentral:rRNA from 1 species
CCUACGGGAGGCAGCAGUGAGGAAUAUUGGUCAAUGGCCGUAAGGCUGAACCAGCCAAGUCGCGUGAAGGAAGAAGGAUCUAUGGUUUGUAAACUUCUUUUAUAGGGGAAUAAAGGUAUCCACGUGUGGAUAUUUGCAUGUACCCUAUGAAUAAGCAUCGGCUAACUCCGUGCCAGCAGCCGCGGUAAUACGGAGGAUGCGAGCGUUAUCCGGAUUUAUUGGGUUUAAAGGGUGCGUAGGUUGUUUUUUAAGUCAGCGGUGAAAGUUUGUGGCUCAACCAUAAAAUUGCCGUUGAAACUGGAAGA